AGCGGAGCGUGUGGUUUAAUUCGAUGUUUACACGAAGAACCUUACCAGGGUUUGACAUGCAAGUGGUAGGAACCGAAAGGUGACCGACCCUUCGGGGAGCUUGCACAGGUGCUGCAUGGCUGUCGUCAGCUCGUGUCGUGAGAUGUUCGGUUAAGUCCGCUAACGAGCGCAACCCUCGCUGUGUGUUAUAUGUGUCACACGGGGACUGCCGGUCUUAAGCCGGAGGAAGGUGGGGAUGAUGUCAAGUCAGCAUGGCCUUUAUAUCCUGGGCUACACACACGCUACAAUGGCCAACACAAUAGGUUGCUAAGCCGCGAGGUGGCGCCAAUCCCAGAAAACCGAUCGUAGUCCGGAUUGCAGUCUGCAACUCGACUGCGUGAAGUCGGAAUCGCUAGUAAUCGCGGAUCAGCAUGUCGCGGUGAAUACGUUCCCGGGUCUU
rnacentral:rRNA from 1 species